UACGUAGGGGGCUAGCGUUGUCCGGAAUCAUUGGGCGUAAAGCGCGCGUAGGCGGCCUGGUAAGUCCGCUGUGAAAGUCAAAGGCUCAACCUUUGAAUGUCAGCGGAUACUGCCAGGCUAGAGUCCGGAAGAGGCGAGUGGAAUUCCUGGUGUAGCGGUGAAAUGCGCAGAUAUCAGGAGGAACACCGGUGGCGAAGGCGGGUCUCUGGGCCGUAACUGACGCUGAGGAGCGAAAGCGUGGGGAGCGAACAGG
rnacentral:rRNA from 1 species